AAGCAGAUCCCCCCCGAGGUCGUUUGCCAGUGGGAAGGAGCAACCAUGAACUGGGAAAGCAGCUUCUGUUGUCUGGUUCAGAGAAGGGACUUCACCAGUACUGGCAGACCCUGAAAGAGAAGGAAAUUCUUGCUCAGUGGUGGAAUUAGAAGCGAUGGGAGGCCAUGCUGGGAGGAAGUACUGCACACCAAGUUGGGAGGAAACAUUGGACACCACGUUGGGAGGAAGCACUGGACGUGCCUGGGGGAAGGAAGGCCUGGUGUAGGGAUGCAGACAGGCUGCAUGGUUGGGCUGAGGCCAGCUGUAGGAGGCUCAACAAGACCAAGUGCCAACUUUCAGAUUCACCCUCCUAACGCUGACGGUGCUGACUGAGUGCAGCUCCGAGCUCACACUUCUCCUUUCAUUGUGACCAGACUGAUGUGCGUGUCACUCUCAAUCUCUUAUAUUCCACAGCCCUCCUUUAAAAACAAUCAAACAAUCACAACGUAGGAAUUAGAGACGCUUAAACAGAAUUAUGGAAAGUAAACACACAUACCUUCUGUGCCGCUGGGUUGCUGUAAAACACUGCUUUAUUCCUUCUCCCUCAGCCAACAUUCACCUACAUGGGACAAAAAAAAAUUUAAAUUCAAAUGUUACAUCUGGUUGCUUACCAACACAAGGUUUGUUUACAAACGAAAACGUCUUUGGCGCAGUUUGACCCAAAGCCAAGUGAAGUUCGAAGAUUUGGAAACAGAACCAUUAGCAGACUUCAGCUCACACUGCACUACAAAUGUGGCUCAGCUUAAGAAUCCAUUGCAACUACAAACUGCUCUCCCUGUUCUGUUAUUGUUCUCCUGCUAUAUCCAAACAGAAUUUCCCUUGUUGCAGCUAUGAUCUUAAUUAAUGCCCUUAGUACUGAGGUACUAAUUAAAUAAAAGCACUGUUACAUACACUAGGUAAAGCAAGGCAUGCUGGUACAAACUGCCCAGCAUCAAAUAUUAGGGACAGAGCUGCAAAUACAACAUCAGGGCCCAAAUUCCCCAUCUUCUGUCACCUUUUAGACCAAACAGCCUCUGAUGAAGUGCCAGAGAGGAAAAUACGAGCAGAACCUCUGCUUAGGCUUCUUCUUUCUAGCUGUAGCAGAGCUCCAUGCAGGGAAGGAGUGCAAUCACACGGGGCCAGAUGUUCAGCACAUCAAAAUCCAUCAACUCCAGCGCCUUCAGUGAAGCUAUGCCAAUUUACAUCAGUUGAUGGUGUGACCUAUAUUACGAAAACUUGCUUGAAGCAGCUAAGGAAUAUAACCCUGAUUUAUUCCAAAUACAUUAUAUUUAGCGCCGUCACUUCUCUCUUUCAUGCCAACAUGCAAGCACAGGAGACAGACACAUUUGGAUCCUCUCAGCUGGGAAUCGUGUUCUUGCAACACUCCUAGAUGAUGCACAUACUGUCUCUAUUUGUGUUCACCCUUUCAGAUGGCAUGCUGCCCACAAAAGAAGCUGAUUAGCGCUUGCCCUGGGCUAUCAAGGCAAGGCAAUGACUCAAAGCUGCCCAUACCCAGGGUUGGCUGAAGCCAUCACACAAAGCCCUGCGACACAUCCCCUCAGCGAAGGGCUGCUGAGCUCCCCCGGCCUGGCAAAGGAUCAGCAGUCCUGAAAACAGAGCACAGCCAACUUCAACACAAACAGCCCAGGAUGAGACAGCACCAUUUUGGACCCAGCCGAUGCAGAAGCGCAGUUGGGUUGGGCUCCUUCAACCCCAGGCUGCUCUGCUGCUCCUCUGAGCCCCAGAAUUCCCACCUGCUCACACACAAAUGCUGCAGAGGAAAAGGAGAAUUUGAGGCACUGAGCCCGGCAGAGCUGCAGCCCCAGUGAGAACGAUGCUUCUGCUCACGGCCAUGGGCACUCCCUGACUCGUGCAAGGAGUCCAGGAGCUGUGUGCAACGGCUCUGCUGUCCUCUGCUUGGCAUCAGGUAUGUGCAAGCAAGCAGAGACAGGUGGAGGGGAGCACCUACUGCUUUUCUGCCUCAUGCUGCACAGGACUUAAAGCUCUGCUCCAUUUUAUAACGCUGAGGCUCUUCCAGAAGACACAAAAUACACAGAUAAGCCAUGUUCUCACUGACCCAUGCUCCACUCAGCACAAGGAUUCCUCUGCAAGAAAAGCUCCUGAAAUCCACACGGUUCCUUUCUUAUUUACCUUUUUUAUCUUUGCUCAUUUUCUACAAAGAAAAGUAACCCAACCUCGGUUCAGUAUAAACCUAGCUGGAAACAAAAAC
ensembl:lncRNA